GCUCAAAGUGGUGUAGUGGUUUGAGCAUUGGACUAGGACUCUGGAGACCAGGAUUCAAAUCCCUGCUCAGCC